rnacentral:rRNA from 1 species
ACGGGUGAGUAAUGUAUAGGAAUCUGCCUGGUAGUGGGGGACAACGUUUCUGAAGGAACGCUAAUACCGGAGACGUCCUACGGGAGAAAGCAGGGGACCUUCGGGCCUUGCGCUAUUGAUGAGCCUAGGUCGGAUUAGCUAGUUGGUGAGGUAAUGGCUCACCAAGGCUACGAUCCGUAACUGGUCUGAGAGGAUGAUCAGUCACACUGGAACUGAGACACGGUCCAGACUCCUACGGGAGGCAGCAGUGGGGAAUAUUGGACAAUGGGCGAAAGCCUGAUCCAGCCAUGCCGCGUGUGUGAAGAAGGUCUUCGGAUUGUAAAGCACUUUAAGUUGGGAGGAAGGGUUGUAGAUUAAUACUCUGCAAUUUUGAAGUUACCGACAUAAUAAGCACCGGCUAACUCUGUGCCAGCAGCCGCGGUAAUACAGAGGGUGCAAGCGUUAAUCGGAAUUACUGGGCGUAAAGCGCGCGUAGGUGGUUCGUUAAGUUGGAUGUGAAAUCCCCGGGCUCAACCUGGGAACUGCAUCCAAAACUGGCGAGCUAGAGUAUGGUAGAGGGUGGUGGAAUUUCCUGUGUAGCGGUGAAAUGCGU